GUUUCUGUACUUACCCGAUAAGCCUUGUGAUAUAUAUGCUCGAAAGUUCAUGUCCUUAGGGCUUUUAUUCUACUCUCUCUCUCUCUUCAUUUUUUUUAUUUUUAUUUUUAAAUUUUAAGUACUGUUUAAAUUAUCAUGGGAACUUAAUACAACUUUCUUUUUUGAAAACAAUUUACUUUCUUGCUUUGGAGUUUUAAAAGUUGUGAUACAAGGAAGCAGGGUUACAGGAAAUUCGGUGUAACAGUACUGUGGUGCAGAGAUGACACAGGCCUUUGUUUUGAAAGCGCUGCAAAAGGAAGCCCUAUCUGUAGUUGAACAUGAUAUAUCAAACCACAAAAAAAACACCCUUUUACACAUAAAUAAAUUUCCCUUCUCAAUAAAUAUAUAUAUAUAUAUAUAUAUAAAAGCCAAAGUAGUGUAUAAUGAUGAUCAAUGCAAAGGACAUCUAAAACCCAUGUCUACAUAUAGAGUCCACUAAGCCCAAGGACCCCUACAUACAGCAAAUAGUUUUAUAUAUUUGUAUUUUAUUUUUCUCCAUCUCUGAACCCUAAUUCAAGUCCCAAAUCCACAUAGGAAAAUACCCCUUUUGUGAUUUUCUCUUAACACUACUAUUUCUUAGGCUCAAGAAAAUUUUGAAGGUGGGUUAAAUCUUGCUUUUGAACUUUUGUUCGAGAAAGGUAUGAAAGUGGAAGUAUGGAGAUGGAGGAGAUUCGAACUGAAGAGUGCAAGUUCCCAAGAAUCAGGAACAAGGAAGAUGAGCAGUACCAAUAUGAAGUAGAUGAUGCAGGAGAAGACAAAAAGCGUGGCCUUGGUGCUAUUGCAAAAUUUUAUGGUCGGCCUUCAUCAAGAAUUGUUAGAGUUUCUCGAGCAUCUGGAGGGAAAGAUAGGCACAGCAAAGUAUUGACUUCUAAGGGGCUAAGAGACAGACGUGUUCGACUCUCAGUCAACACAGCUAUACAGUUCUAUGAUUUGCAAGACCGGCUCGGUUGUGAUCAGCCGAGUAAGGCUGUGGAAUGGUUGCUAAAAGCAGCUGCUCCUUCAAUUGCUGAGCUUCCACCUCUCGAGGCAUUUCCAGAUACACUGCAGCUCAGCGAUGAGAAAAGGUCAAGUGUUGGAACUGAGCCGGAUUUUGAUUCAGCUGAUGUUGAAAUGGAUGAUUAUCCAAAUUACAAGCAGCAGCAGCAACAACAACAAGGUCAACAGAAACCUUGUUGUAGCAAUUCUGAGACCAGCAAAGGUCCUGGAUUGUCAUUUUCCAGAUCUGAUAGUCGGCUCAAGGCACGGGAGCGAGCAAAGGAAAGGGCCACAGAGAAGGAAAAGGAGAAAGAAAACAAGUCUUCUGUUGUUGCUCAUCACCAAAAUAUGCACCCUAGCUCUUCUUUUACUGAGCUAUUGACAGGUGGUAUGAGCGAUAAUAACAAUAACAACAGUAACACAAGUCCUAAUGCCUCUAUUCACCAAAACAUGCCAAGGCAAUGGUCUACCAAUCCCUUGGAGUACUUUACCUCAGGAUUAUUAGGCCCAUCAUCUACUCGUGGAAUUGACAACACUAGUGGCUUCUCGGAUCAAAUUUAUAUAGGAAAUCCUCUACAGUCAUUAAGAGUGGUGCCUUCACCAAUGUUUAGUAUUACGGGGGACCAUCGCCCCGAGCUGCAGCAUUUCCCAUUUGGCGGUGACAACCUAGUUCCGUCUGUGACCACCAGUGGGGGGAGUAAUUGUAAUGGUCACAGAAGCAAUACGAGUAACGAAUACAAUUUGAACUUCAGCAUUUCUUCAUCUGCUUCUGGUUUCAAUAGGGGGACCCUUCAGUCCAAUUCUUCCUCUUCGCAGUCUACUAUGCCUCACUUCCAGAGGUUUUCUCCUAUAAACGGAUCACAGAAUUUAUUUCAUGGCACCACAACUGAAUAUGAUGCUGGCUUACACCUCUUCUAUGGAAAUGGCUAUGGACAUUCAGAUCAGAAAGAAAAAGAAAAGAACUAAGUUCAUACAAAAGCAAGUUCCUCUACUGCGCAUCUUAAUCCCUGAUAUCCAUUGAUGGAGAAAGAUAAAUAUUGGUGAAUCAUUGAAGAUAAUUUAGAGCAGAUUUUGCGACUUCAACUGAAUCUGCUGCUUCUAGCUUGAGCAAUUGAAGAUGGAAGCAGCCUCUGGAGUCACAAAGGAAGCAAUGCUUUUCUAUGCUAAUUAUGCAUUAUUCAUCUUUGAGUACUAUAACCUAUAAGUAGGUACCUUUUUUUAAAUUUUUAUUUUUAUGGGAGAAAUCCCUUUGUUUUCUGCUUCUGGCCCGACUUCGGUUGGCGCACAAGUUCGAAACUCAGCAAGCUUGUGUUUAUGUUUUUUUGUGAGAUGUCAUUUGUAUUGAAGAAUUUAUCCUCAUUUGAAUUUUAUGGUUCUGCACUAAACCAUUGCUUGAGGAGA